ACAGCAGGCGCCUCCUGCGGGACUCCGGGACGGUGCUGGGCGGGUCGGCGGCGGAGCCCGGGGGCAGCAGAGCCCGCUGCCCGCCGUCUGCCGGGAGCGCGGCCGCCCGCCCCGGGUCCCCGCAGCAGCCUCGGUGCCCCGAGUGCGUCGGCACCGCCCGCCCGGCCUUGGCGCGGCCGCGGUGACUCGGGCCCGGCUCUAGCUGCCCGUCCCCCUCGACUGUCGGCUCCGUGUGUCUGCUGAUUUGGCUGCAUCUGUCCUGCAUAUUUAUGGUCGCCUGUCACUGUCACAUUCCCUGGCCGUUGACAGUUUCCAAAGCACUUGGGCCAGAAGAAACUCGGGAUUUGGGGAGUUCAUAACAGGUGGAGGCGCUGAAGGGAGGCGACCCGCCCGGGACUCAGCCCGACGAGGCGGGAGCUCUAGGAGUUGCUGGAGACUCUGUCGGGAACAGUGUUGGGAGGUGGCCCGUGGCUGCCAGGGUGUCCUUGCUGUCAACUGCUGGACUCGGAGCGGGACCUGUGCCCCGCCCCGAGCACAGUGUGGAGGCCGCUCGCUUAAGGGUCCUGCAAGUGAAGGUGCUGGGGCUGGGGGACUUUAGUCACCCGCUUCUCACGUGAUUGCUGCGCCCUCCAGCUAGGCGGACAGUGACUCCUCUUUCUCCAGAGCCAACUUUGGAUCUUUCUCACCUGUGCUUUUGUAACCUUUUGAUUAGCAAAAGCAAGACGAAUUGUUCCCGGAACACUUAAGCUGCCUGGAAACUUACUUACAAGAAAAAUCGAGCGUUAAUUCAUCAGGGACAUCCUGAGGGUUUUGCUGUCGGGCCAGUUAACUGAUUGCAAAUUCUCCCCAAGUUUAAAACUAGGUGAGCUGCUUUGGGGAGCAGCCUGAGAUCAGGGCUCGGUGGUCUGACAGCUGAGCAGGAGGCCCGGGUAAGGGAUCAUGGUGGACUUACAAAGCCUGGCAGGUUCAGGAAAAGAUACUUUCAAAUAUGUGUUCUGAAUCUUCAAAAUAUUAAGUUAUGGCUGAGGCAAGAAGAUUACAAGUUUGAGGACAGCCUAGGCAACGUAGACCCUGUCUCAAAAAAAAGACAGAAAAAUCAGCAAAUCUCAGCGGAAGGUAAAUAACAGCUAAAAUAUUAUAUCUUUAUAUCAAUUAUUAAAAGAUGUAGGCUUAGAUUUGUAGCACCGUCAUUAAAAAUAAUAGGAG
rnacentral:lncRNA from 1 species